rnacentral:tRNA from 1 species
GUGGGUGUAGCACAAUGGUUAGUGUACUAGUCUUCCAAACUAGUGACGGGGGUUCGAAUCCCCUCACCCACUCCA